GUUCCCUGCCGGCACAUGUUGACUUUAUCAGACGCUGCACUUUGACCUGGAUCUUUGUGUGUAUGUGUGUGUGUGUGUGUGUAAGUGUGUGUCUGGGACUCUCUACCUUCAGCUGAGCUACAAGUUAAGGGUCUCUCCUGGUUGCGCCCAGCUGGCGCCCCUACGAGUGGGCUGGGCAGAGGCAGGAGGCUGUGCCAGCUCUACUGGUGCAGAAGGGGGCACACCAGGCAGACAGGCCCAGUGUCAGCAGCAGCAGCGGCAUCGACUAUCCCCCUGGCUACAGCACAAACAUAUGCCGGCGUCCUCCAUGUUUGUGUAUAUACAGAGGCAAAUGAAGCUUUUAAGCAGGGUGGAGGGAUGUGGGUGAGAGGAAGAGCGAGAAAGGGGGCGGUGGUGGCUUACCACUGAAAAGAAUAAUUGACUUUCUGCGGAGCGUCACUUAUCCUCCAUCAACACCUUUGACUGCAAUGCAGGUACUGAAGAGAACAACUUCUGGAAGGAGAAGGAAUGUGAGAGAUGGAGUGGGACUGGCUGCCAUCCAGUGGCUUCAUAUAAGUACAUCGAUGACCACUGGUCUGAAUCGAUGACAACACUUCCAACUUUCUUCAUUUCCCGACGCUGGGCGAGGCCAGAGGACUGUACAGGCUCCAGGACUGGGGUUGGAGCACAGCGCCUCAAAGCAGAAUAGGUGGCAGACAGCGCCCCCUGGUGGAGAUUACAGAAUAUUACAUGCAUUGCUUUCAUUAUUCAAUAAACAGCAAACACCGCCACCUCAUGGAUAUACUGAUAAAACAAGUAUAUUAUGGUUGUUGUUAUUGUCAUAUUUUCAAUAUUAUUAUUAUUGGAUUAAAUUACCCGUGUGUGCAAUAUCUCGGCGUUGCUACGUCCCAAAGUCACGUGAUGGGUGUCACCAAAUCACGUGACAGUGCGCCACCAAUCAGUGCGGUAGGCUAUCCGGAAAAGAUUACAUACCGGUAGCCGUGAGAGACACGCUUGGAAAGAGUUGCUGCAGGUAUGUCAAAGUUGUCGUUAUUUUUUCACUAUCUAAAAGUCUAAACAAAAUGCUUGUGUGGUCGGAGUAUCGGGGCCGUCCACCGGCGCCACACCGCUUUGAAAGGAGCAGUGCUUUGAUAGAACUACGGAAUUGCGUCUGACACCAGGUCCCAGUUACCGCCACUGAUGAUAAAUUUCCCACAGCCAAUUUGAGCCAAAAUUUCCUCUGCUGAGUCAUCAGGACAGCUGGCGAAUGGACUGAAGCUUGAGGUAAAUAGAAGAAAAUGGGUGAGUGUGGCGAGGCAUUCACAACAUUUGUCCACACAUUUCACUUUAUACAUGGGAAGAACCAUUGUAACCAUUAUAUUUGCAAGCUACGGGUCUGUCAUUGAUUGUUAAACUAACCCAGCAAUGAUGGUGUAAAGCAGGAUACCCAAGCUCCAGAUGUCACAUGCAGCAUCAUAACCUUGCUUCUUCAGAACCUGCACACGCAUAAACACCUCUAGUCAUUUAUUUAUACUUCACUUUUUUAGGACACUCAUUAUUAUUAUUAUACAGAUUCAUGAAUUUUGAAUAGCCACACUGAAGAUCCCACUGACAUCCCCAUCAGCAGUGUAGUUGAUCAACAGUGACCCACCCUGCACUUUGCCCAUUUUUGGUUGGAUUUCAGUGAUUAGGAACAUAGUUCCGGUUAGUAGCUAGGGCCAUUUAAGUAAAGGGUUAGGCUGCUCAAAACAAUGUGUUCAAAGGAUUAAUACAUUUUUAUAAUUGCAAAAAAUCAGACCUCACAAAUGGCUUUCUCUCCCGCCAUAUCACUGCGCAGUGCUUCCAUGCACGGAUGAUGGUGUUAUGACUGCACCUUCUCGCAAUACAUGCACAACAAUGGACAGGCGACAGAGUGCAGUGCUACAACAGUAGAGGAGGUAAUGCAGAGCGAUUGUGAGGUCUGUUUUAUUCUUUUGAACGCCUAUUGUUUUGAGAAGCCAAACUCUUUACUUAAGUAGCCCCAUCAGCUAACCGGAACUAUGUUCCUCAUUGCCAAAAUCUGACCAGAAGUACACUGAUGAUGGGUUGUCAAUGUCAUGUCAAAACAUCUAAACUAUUCCUUUUAAGAUACUAAAUUAGAUGUCUUUUUAAUUUACCUCUGGUGCCAUGAAUGUCGCUGUGUAACAUGGGGUCAUCAGUAAGCCAUUUUCAGCCCUCAGCUGUUUGGCAAACCCAAAAUCACAUAUUUUGAGGCAUUCUGAGAGUCCUCUGUCAUCUGAGUAGCGAAUGUUGCUGGGUUUCAGGUCCCGAUGCACAACCUAAAAAAUAGGUGUUUAGAUUUUUUUUUAUGGCAAUCAAACGUAAGUGGUCUGCACUGCAUCCUUUUUAUCUGCAGUCCAAUGAAAACAAUGCAGUUUUUGGCUCAGUCUUACCCCCUGGGAGUGUAAAUAUUCCACAGUCUUGGCCAGUGUGCAGAUGAUGUCUGAUGCGUCUUUCUCUAUGAAAUUUGGCACCGUCAAUACUCGGUCCAGCAGCUCACCUCCUCUCAAUAAAUCCUGAACCAGGUACACACAGUGGCCAUCAUCAAACACCUGAAGAUGGGAAGACAAGCAUACAUAUACA